rnacentral:rRNA from 1 species
CCCGACUACUAUCGGGGUGAGGCUAAGCCAUGGGAGUCGCGCGCCCAGCCGCCGCUGGGCGCGGCGCACGGCUGAGUAACAUGUAGCUAACCUACCCUCGGGAGGGGGACAACCCCGGGAAACUGGGGCUAAUCCCCCAUAGGCAAGGGGGCCUGGAAGGGUCCCUUGCCGAAAGGGACCCCAGGGGGUUAUCGCCUGGGGUCCGCCCGAGGAUGGGGCUGCACCCCAUCAUGGUAGUUGGCGGGGUAAUGACCCGCCAAGCCGACGACGGGUAGGGGCCGUGGGAGCGGGAGCCCCCAGAUGGGCCCUGAGACAAGGGCCCAGGCCCUACGGGGCGCACCAGGCGCGAAACCUCCGCAAUGCGGGAAACCGUGACGGGGUCACCCCGAGUGCCCCCGUAAGGGGGCUUUUCCCCGCUGCGAGGAGGCGGGGGAAUAAGCGGGGGGCAAAUCUGGUGUCAGCCGCCGCGGUAAUACCAGCCCCGCGAGUGGUCGGGACGUCUACUGGGCCUAAAGCGCCCGUAGCCGGCCCCGUAAGUCCCUCCUGAAAGCCCUGGGCUCAACCCAGGGAGUGGGGGGGAUACUGCGGGGCUAGGGGGUGGGAAGGGCCGGGGGUACCCCAGGGGUAGGGGUGAAAUCCGAUAAUCCCUGGGGGACCACCAGUGGCGAAAGCGCCCGGCUGGAACGCGCCCGACGGUGAGGGGCGAAAGCCGGGGGAGCGAACCGGAUUAGAUACCCGGGUAGUCCCGGCUGUAAACGAUGCGGGCUAGGUGUCGGGCGGGCGUUAGAGCCCGCCCGGUGCCGCAGGGAAGCCGUUAAGCC